CCUUGUUCAUUAUACAUAAGUGGGUUAAAUCCAGACUGCAGAAAUGCAAGUUUUUCAAGUUCAAAAUCUUUUCAAUCAUGUUUUAUUUGUUUAUGUUUCUUCAAGUUAUGAUCAUUUUGAAAAUGGUUUUAACCAAUCCAAACCCAGACAAAUCCAUAUGAAGAUAUCUUGAUAUAUAGUAUAUAUAGAGAUGCACAAAAAAAUAAAUAGCAUUGAGAUGCUGAGGAAUAGUCUCCACUAAUGGAGACUAGGAACCCAAUUCGGAUAACAACAUUGCUAUCAGUAGAAAAAUUGAAAUAUAGUGGGGCGCAUAUGUAAGUCACACUUUAGGCAAACUAGAGAACAACUUGUCAUGACGACACUUGCUUAGGACAAGCCUGCUAUAGCCAUGGGGUAUGUUCCUUACAUACUUGUUCAACUAGGAUAAAUAAAAACCAUGUGAAAUGUGGCAGUGGAAAGAGAAGCAAAAAAGGAAGAAACACUGGCUAAUUAAAGGAUUGUGUGGUGAAGCAUUCUCCUAAAAAGAGAGAAACUGUGACUUCAUGACUAUGCAGUGAACAAUAAAGGUCGAUACUUCAGGUUUGUUUGUUAAAACCUAUUGGUGCAGAAUUAUCCUGUAGGCCAAGAUGGAGGAACUUCCCAGCAUGCCAUGCCUGGACACACAUUAGAAGAACCACCUGCAGGAGCGUUACACGUUUUUUUGAUUAUCUUGUUUGUGUGACACACUCUAAUGCAAUCCUAGGCAGGAGAUUGUCAAUCAAAAUUGUAAACUUUGUUGCUUUUCUGGAAGGAGAAUCCACCUCUAACCAAUACAUCAUCAGCAAGCGUAUAAAAACUCUCUGUGUUAUUCUUUCUUCUCGCUUCUUUUUGUUUCAGCCUCCAUCUUCCCCAGCCACCACCUCGCAGCAUGCCUCAUCCCGGGGGGAGGUGGCUCAUAGGGUUACUGUUCAUGUAUUUCCAGCCGGCCUCACGCAGGUAGCCGUUGGGCACCCGCGGAUAAGACCUCCAGUCAAAUUUAUAUUUCAGUCGGGCCUUGAGUGCCCUCCACAGUCAUCUGGCCCUGAGCGCCCUUCACAGUCAUAAAUCAGCUGCACUUGCAAUCAUCGCAAUCUUCAUCAUUCAUUCACUGCCAUUCAUUUAAGCGGAUUCUCCGUGCUGAAAUCCAAUACUAAAUUAUUUUACAGAAACCCAUGAAAAGAGCACAUCACCUUGUUUAGAGUGUCUAGCCUUGUUGGGACGCAUCUGCUGUUACACAAUUGUAUAUUACACCUCUACAUGGAAAUAGGUGGUUUAAUGUAUGGCUUGAGAUCUACACAGGUGGCCCAUUCUCACACAGUGCAGUACAAUGCUGCAGAUCAAAAGAAUGAUAGCCCAGAUUGGAACUGAAUAACCUAUUAAAUCAGGUCAAUCCUACAUGUUAUAAUUCUAAAUAUCUUCUGAUUUGUAUUCAUAUUUGUUCUGCAGGGGCUCCAGUGUUUAUGUCAGUAGAACGGAUAAACACCACAAGUCUUACAAUCAACUGGAGUACAGCUAGCAGCUCUGUAACAAAAUGUGCUCUCUUUGUGUUUGCAAAGGGUGAACAACAAGUACUGGGUCCAUACUGAUGAAAAAUCUGAUAGAAUACACUGUGUACAUGUUCAGCUGUACAUGUCUUGAUCACAAUGUUAUCCUCAAGUCUGCAGCUAUCAGCGUUGAUACAGGCUCCCUCGUAAUAAUGAAGUGACCCCCUACAUGAUCUUUGGUAAUAAUGGCGCCAGCCCUUCCUAAGCAGCAAGGAUGUCAUACACUUUUUGUGCAAUUUUCUAUUCCUAUAGGAGUUCUUGAACUGUUCAAAUUUUAUUAGUGUCCAUAACAACCCUUUCUAAUAUGGAUUGCUUUAUUGUGGCUAACCCAAUUAUUAACAAUGACUUUGAUACCUUGAUUUGUUUACGUGGAUAUGCACAGUUUUGGCAGACUGCAUCAGAACAAUAGAAAGUGUAAAAGCAGCAUUUACUUUGUGUAAUACCAUAGUACUGUUUCAAAAGUCCAACAAUUAAAAGCCAACAUUAAAUGGUAAAUAAGAGCUCCAUCAGGACUGUGUGGCUGUAUUUAAGUCCUGCCCAAAAUAAAACAAUAUAGACUUUAGUUUCUUCCAUGCACAAGUCUGAUUGAAAAUAGGCCUGAUUUAAAUAUUGGCAGCAAGUCUAAAACAGUUAUGUUGCAUGGGCUUGACACUUGUGCAAGUUAGGAAGACAAAGCUGGCAGGGACUGUUUCUCCUCCUCAGCAAGACGCCUAGUGAGCCCAGGCGGACACCUGCAGAGCUGGCCUUGUCCUCCAUAGGCCGGUAGCUUGCUGACGUCCGGUCUCGAGUUCCUGGGUGUAAAAGAGGAAACUGGUUUGGUCGUGGGGAUGCCCACUGAACCUUCAGUUCUUCUGAGCUGUGGGGAAUUGAGGCACUGAGGGAACGCAAUUGGACAUUCGAAAUUGGGGAGGACAUUUGGGGGUAAAAUAAUUGAUAGUUAAAGAUCCCCUGUAAGGGCAUGUAAUGUUUAAUAGCUAAAGUAUGCUGUUUGUCAGCCCUCCUUAACAAGAGACACAUUUACCUUGUAUACUUCAAGCUCUGUAGAUGUUGAUGCAUUUCUUCUGUGUGGGCGGCAGCUUGAGUACCAAUAUGCUUCUGUAGCUCUUUCCACUGAGAUGCAAUAGUCAGCUUACCAUACGUGACCAAUCCAUUUCAUCAGUGUUUUGUUUCUUUUAACCAGCUGCUUUAAGUUAACAUUGAUAUCAGAAUGCCAGGAAAGUGUCACACAUUUCAACAUUUGCAGCCUUUUCUGAUACAUAUUUUUCCACUAUUAUGAGUUCUAACAGCCAUAAAACUCCAGUUUAUUCAAAAUGCUGAUGAUUCAGUUAUCCAUAAAGCUUUUAUAAAUCUGUUUUUAUUUAUUACAUAGGUUUUGAUAUCUGGGCCAUUUAAACUUUUGCUGUUUUCAGAAUUAAAAAAUUAAAAACAAUUUGUUUUCAUUUUUAAGUUACAGUCAUAUAUAAAGCCCUCAAGACAAAAAAUAAAUAAAUAAAUCUUAUAUGGACUUGCUUUGUUUUACCAGAAGUUGUGUGCGUUGCACCACUGUUAUUGAUUAUGUCCUUUGUUGUCAUAGUUAAGAUCUCUAGAACUGUUCCUGCAUAACUGAGCCUGAUUAAGGUGCUCACUUAUAGAGUGUGUGGUUGUCAGUUUCUGCCCAGCCUCCAGUCUGCUACAUGUGCCACCAUAUGUUUGUUGUCCAAAAAUACAUGGCCUUACAUAAGCUUUGCUAAAAUAAACCAACCCCACGUCGUCUGCCAUUGUUUACAUACAGAGGCACACCAAAAAGAACAAAGUUCUAACGUUCUAGCUGUCUAACACUGUAUUGAGUGCAACUUGUAGAAAGAAUAAAAAACAGAUUAUAAUAAAUUAGUAUUUAUUAGUAUUCAAGCCAGGCAAAUAGUUAUUUGAUUUUGCAGGGGCAGAAAUUAAACUGGGUUGUUACUAUUAGGCAUCUCGUUCAACUGCAAAAACUAGUAAGGUUUAAACCAUAAACAUUGGUAUAUUGUGUAUAUAUAAAGACUGGGCAAUGUUGAUACUGCUUUGUAAAUACAGAACUAAUGGCCAAACAUGUUUGUAUUGCACAGAAAUAACCAGACCUGUUUGAACUUAACAUGCUUAAGUUAAACUCAUGCACAGCUGUAUUUUCUUAGUUGUAGAGCUUUAUUUAGUUAAAGGGACCUCUAACUUUAUCACACUCUGGGGCCUACACAAGGUGGUUCUCUGUCCUUACCGAGUGGUUAGAAAUAACACUAAAAACAUAAAAGUACCAGAGCAUGUACUCUGAGAUGCUGCCUUGUUUAAACCAAAGGUCAACACCUGUAAUUCCAAAGCAUUAAUAUUAUUACACUAUUGUAAUUCUGGCCAGUGAGUGGCAACUGCAAGCAAUUUACAGAGAUUGAAAGUGUUGUAGUUGAAGUGAUCCAGGCUUACUAAAGUUUUCUGGUUAAAUCACAGUGAUUAAUUAUAUGAAUGUCAGGCUUAUGUGCAUUUUGCUUUUAUUAAAUGCAGCAGAUUUUCUGAAGUUAGUAAAGAUGAAAUACCUGACACAGAGGCAGCUGACUACAUUCUUUGGCUGUAAUUGAAGGUGCUGAAUCAGAAUCUUCAACAUAACUACACGUUUGUGUGGAGCCAUGCUCUAGUCACUAUGUGGAAGUGAUUAUAAAGCAGUUACGAAUUAAAGCAAUGCAG